rnacentral:lncRNA from 1 species
UGCAGUAUAUGGAUGAUGAACUUUCCCAUUGUUGUAUGUUAAUAAAAAUGUUGAGGUAUGUAAUCACUCUGAAAAUUCCACCCAUUAUCCUAUUUUCAAAGGAAAACUUUGGGAAGAUUACAAACCCUGAAAAAUGAAGACUUGGUGGCUUGCAGUUCCUUCUCCUUCUCCAAGAUGAGGUGGUUGGGUUGCUGAAGAUGGUGGUUGGGUUGCGGAUGAAGGUGUUGAGUUGCUGAUGAAAGUGGUUGGGUUGCAGAUGAAAGUGGUUGGGUUGCUGAUGAGGUGGUUGGGUUGCUGAUGAAGGUGGCUGGGUUGCUGAUGAGGUGGUUGGGUUGCUGAUGAAGGUGGUUG